rnacentral:lncRNA from 1 species
GAACAUAUUAUCUGUAAUUAUUCUUAAUGUCUCAGUCUAUACAAUAAGACUUAGCUUAAGGAAAUACAGUUCCUAGUGCUUGGUUUAUACAGAAAAGAAUUAAGAUGGCAUGUGAAAAAGCCAAAACUUUUUUCUGAUUAAAUAGUAGGAUUCUAGAUUGAAGAGAAAAUGUAUAUAUAGUUCCAUAUAUCUGCAUAACAUGGUGAACUAGCAUUCAUGGAAAAUUAGGAAUGAACCAUGCUGCUGGUUCUAGCUACUGCAUACAGUGCAUGAAGUUGAAAGAAACUAUAUGAAGCCAGUAGAAUAGAGAAUGAGAAUCUGAGAAUUGAAAUACCUAUAAAUCUUGAAAUAGGGAAUCCUUUGAGAAGCAGAACAUAUAUAGUUCUGAAAGCUAAUCCUUCCUUGGUUAACAUUCUUGGCUACAGACAUCUCAGAUCCUUACAGUUACUGGGACAAGUUAAGGUCAGUGCUUGAGUUGAGGGUCUUACAACUUUAGGCUCCAAAUCAAAUACUAUAUGAGAGGUAUCUGCAUAAAACAACAAUAAGCUCUUGAGAAAUUAUAUAUACCACUCUUAUAAAGGAAAGAGAGAGAUUAGGAGAAAAGAAAGAAAAGUUUUGAUAGAAAGAAAAUGAACACUGUAG